ACGAAGUCUGAUGGAGCAACGCCGCGUGAGUGAUGAAGGGUUUCGGCUCGUAAAACUCUGUUGUUGGAGAAGAACGGGUGUCAGAGUAACUGUUGACAUCGUGACGGUAUCCAACCAGAAAGCCACGGCUAACUACGUGCCAGCAGCCGCGGUAAUACGUAGGUGGCAAGCGUUGUCCGGAUUUAUUGGGCGUAAAGCGAGCGCAGGCGGUUUUUUAGGUCUGAUGUGAAAGCCUUCGGCUUAACCGGAGAAGUGCAUCGGAAACCGGGAGACUUGAGUGCAGAAGAGGACAGUGGAACUCCAUGUGUAGCGGUGAAAUGCGUAGAUAUAUGGAAGAACACCAGUGGCGAAGGCGGCUGUCUGGUCUGCAACUGACGCUGAGGCUCGAAAGCAUGGGUAGCGAACAGGAUUAGAUACCCUGGUAGUCCAUGCCGUAAACGAUGAGUGCUAAGUGUUGGAGGGUUUCCGCCCUUCAGUGCUGCAGCUAACGCAUUAAGCACUCCGCCUGGGGAGUACGACCGCAAGGUUGAAACUCAAAGGAAUUGACGGGGGCCCGCACAAGCGGUGGAGCAUGUGGUUUAAUUCGAUGCUACGCGAAGAACCUUACCAGGUCUUGACAUCUUCUGCUAACCUAAGAGAUUAGGCGUUCCCUUCGGGGACGGAAUGACAGGUGGUGCAUGGUUGUCGUCAGCUCGUGUCGU
rnacentral:rRNA from 2 species